rnacentral:rRNA from 1 species
GAUGAACGCUAGCGGCAGGCUUAAUACAUGCAAGUCGUGGGGCAGCAUGAGUGUAGCAAUACAUUUGAUGGCGACCGGCAAACGGGUGCGGAACACGUACACAACCUUCCUAUAAGUGGGGAAUAGCCCAGAGAAAUUUGGAUUAAUACCCCGUAACAUAACGAUGUGGCAUCACAUUGUUAUUAUAGCUUCGGCGCUUAUUGAUGGGUGUGCGGCUGAUUAGAUAGUUGGCGGGGUAACGGCCCACCAAGUCUACGAUCAGUAGCUGAUGUGAGAGCAUGAUCAGCCACACGGGCACUGAGACACGCGCCCGACUCCUACGGGAGGCAGCAGUAAGGAAUACUGGUCAAUGGACGCAAGUUUGAACCAGCCAUGCCGCGUGAAGGAUUAAGGUCCUCUGGAUUGUAAACUUCUUUUAUCUGGGACGAAAAAAGGCUUUUCUAAGUCACUUGACGGUACCAGAUGAAUAAGCACCGGCUAACUCCGUGCCAGCCGCCGCGGUAAAAC